rnacentral:rRNA from 1 species
AGGACGAACGCUGGCGGCGUGCUUAACACAUGCAAGUCGAGCGGAAAGGCCCUUCGGGGUACUCGAGCGGCGAACGGGUGAGUAACACGUGAGUAAUCUGCCCCUAGCUCUGGGAUAGCUCCGGGAAAACCGGGAUUAAUACUGGAUACGACCACCUUAGACAUCUUUUGUGGUGGAAAGAAUUUCGGCUAGGGAUGAGCUCGCGGCCUAUCAGCUUGUUGGUGGGGUAACGGCCUACCAAGGCGACGACGGGUA